GACGAACGCUGGCGGCGUGCCUAACACAUGCAAGUCGAGCGAGAAUACCUUCGGGUAUUCUAGCGGCGGACGGGUGAGUAACACGUGGGUAACCUGCCUUACACAGGGGGAUAGCCUUCCGAAAGGAAGAUUAAUACCGCAUAAGAAGUAAUUACCGCAUGGUAGUAGCUUUAAAGGAGCAAUCCGGUGUAAGAUGGACCCGCGGCGCAUUAGCUAGUUGGUGAGGUAAUGGCUCACCAAGGCAACGAUGCGUAGCCGACCUGAGAGGGUGAUCGGCCACAUUGGAACUGAGAGACGGUCCAGACUCCUACGGGAGGCAGCAGUGGGGAAUAUUGCACAAUGGAGGAAACUCUGAUGCAGCAACGCCGCGUGAGUGACGAAGGCCUUCGGUUGUUAAGACUCUGUCAUCUGGGACGAGUAAUAGACGGUACCGAGGAAGGAAGGGAAGGCCGACGGACCGUAACUAACCGUGCCCACGCGACGCCGGCCGGUAAGUACGACGACGGAGGUAACGUGAGGC
rnacentral:rRNA from 1 species